GACGAACGCUGGCGGCGUGCUUAACACAUGCAAGUCGAACGGGUCUGCCCUGUUUUUUGCGGGGUGGGUCAGUGGCGAACGGGUGAGUAACCCGUGAGUAACCUGCCCCUCACUUCUGGAUAACCGCUUGAAAGGGUGGCUAAUACGGGGUGUUCUGGCUGUGCCGCAUGGUGUGGCUGGGAAAGAUUCACUUUUGUGGUGUUUUGGUGGGGGAUGGGCUCGCGGCCUAUCAGCUUGUUGGUGGGGUGAUGGCCUGCUAAGGCUUUGACGGGUAGCCGGCCUGAGAGGGUGGGCGGCCACAGGGGGACUGAGGUACAGCCCAGACUCCUGCGGGGGGCAGCAGUGGAGGGUAUUGCACAAUGGGCGGAAGCGUGAUGCAGCGACGUCGCGGGAGCGAUGGAGGCCUGCGGGUUGUGAACCUCUUUGGCCGGUGAAGAGGGUCCUGCUCUUUGGGGUGGGGUUGACGGUAGCCGGGUAAUGAAGCGCCGGCUAACUACGUG
rnacentral:rRNA from 1 species